rfam:Bombyx mori DNA, contig: Bm_scaf30_contig19007, strain: p50T/Dazao, build 2, whole genome shotgun sequence.
AAAUAAAAAAAUGGUAUGCAGUUGGAACAGCGCCCUUAGCGGCAAACGUAGGCGAAUGUUCCAACUCCAUACAAAUUUAAAUUA